GACGAACGCUGGCGGCGUGCUUAACACAUGCAAGUCGAACGGUGAAGCGCCUUCCUUUUUGGUGGGUGUGGAUGAGUGGCGAACGGGUGAGUAACACGUGAGUAACCUGCCCCCUUCUUCUGGAUAACCGCAUGAAAGUGUGGCUAAUACGGGAUAUUCUGGGUCUGUCGCAUGAUGGGUCUGGGAAAGAUAUUGUUUCGGUGGGGGAUGGGCUCGCGGCCUAUCAGCUUGUUGGUGGGGUGAUGGCCUACCAAGGCGGUGACGGGUAGCCGGCCUGAGAGGGUGGACGGUCACACUGGGACUGAGACACGGCCAAGACUCCUACGGGAGGCAGCAGUGGGGAAUAUUGCACAAUGGGCGCAAGCCUGAUGCAGCGACGCCGCGGGAGGGAUGGAGGCCUUCGGGUUGUGAACCUCUUUCGCCAGUGAAGCAGGCCUGCCUCGUUUGUGGGUGGGUUGACGGUAGCUGGAUAAGAAGCGCCGGCUAACUACGUG
rnacentral:rRNA from 1 species